ensembl:lncRNA
CUCUGUUAGGUAUCUCUGUUGGGUAUCUCUGUUGGGUAUCUCUGUUAGGUAUCUCUGUUAGGUAUCUCUGUUGGGUAUCUCUGUUGGGUAUCUCUGUUGGGUAUCUCUGUUGGGUAUCUCUGUUGGACUUCUUCUUCUUCCUCGUGGGCCGAGUUCCGCUGAAGUGGGAUAGGUUCGUCCGACUCCUUGUUCUUUCGAUGGCCGCCUACUUCGUUAUCGGGUGUAAAGUCUCUGAUUGUCCACAAGAUGUCACAAUGUCCUUUCUCUUAGUUGUCUGUUUCCUUGCACUCGUUCUGUGAGAGGGGUCUUCUGAGGAUGGCUAAUCAGCCG